CACCAGUGUCGUAUUUGGUCCCUUUGGUGCAGGCAACGAUGGCCCCCAUGCUCGGCUGAGACGUCAUCCCAGCCAUAGAGUCAACCUAAAAGGAAAACAGGAAAUGUCUUCCUUGAGAAAAAGGAGAUCAAACAGCUGUUUGGAGGGAAGCAGCAUCAGUCACAUCUCUAAAUGUAGAAGUAGCAGGAAGAGCUGCUAAAGUAGUCUGUUUGAUAUUCACCACAGCAUCAGGACAUACAUAUUAAUAGCAGCAAGCAGCAAGAGCUACCUUCCUGUUGCCCAGAUUAAAGAAGGCUGCUAGUACAUUCAGUUGGAUUGUUACACAGUUAUGGAGGUCAAAAACAGAAAUACAAUACUAUCCUAACUGCGAGUGCACAGAAUGUGUGCAUACUUGCACAUGUAUAAUCCAUCAUAAUAUCUAAAAGUGAAACAUUUGCAAGAAAUGGCAGUGAUGUGGGCAUUUCAUGAAGUCCAGGUCUAAUGUAGCCAAGCCUCCGUCUCCAAACACACCGCAUUCUGUGCAUCUUCACUCGGUCUGCUGGCUGCACCCUUGAAGGGAUUGUGAGGCAAAGCCCACCUAAGAGUUUUGGGGACCUUCAGAAGCCAUGGAGUACAGCGCAAGAGUAAGUGCUUUAAGAGCCACCAAACAGACGUAUCCAUGGUCUACUCCUGAACCAGAGACAAUGUCAGAGGCAACUUACUGCGAAGAAAAAAAAAAAAGGACUGUUGCUCAGUCUCUCAGUGGUCAGAUGUUAUUUUCACGUGACUACAGAUGUCUACCAGGAUGUUUUGGAGGACGUCAUGCUUCCUUCUGCUGACGAGCUUUAUAGAAAUGUGGACUUCAUUUUCCAGCAGGACUUGGCACCCGCCCACACUGCCAAAAAUACCAAUACCUGGUAUAAUAGACAUGGUAUGACUGCUUUAUAGGCCAGGAAAUCCACCUAACUUAAAACCUUUUGAUGCAGUAAUAAAUGCAGUGAAGCAGGCAAAAGUACUGAGUUCAUAUACAGUAUAUGGACAACCUUUCCAGUUAGCCAACAUUUCUGUAUAAUUGAAUAAUUUAAUGUUGUACUUUUACAGCAUCAAAAUCAUACAAACCCAAAGAGUCCAAG